rnacentral:rRNA from 1 species
AGCUCCAAUAGCGUAUAUUUAAGUUGCUGCAGUUAAAAAGCUCGUAGUUGGAUUUCGGAUGGGUUCCGUCGGUCCGCCUUUUGGUGUGCACUGACGGCGCCUAUCUUGCUGCCGGGGACGGGCUCCUGGGCUUAACUGUCCGGGACUCGGAGUCGGCGAGGUUACUUUGAGUAAAUUAGAGUGUUCAAAGCAGGCCUACGCUCUGAAUACAUUAGCAUGGAAUAACACGAUAGGACUCUGGCCUAUCUUGUUGGUCUGUAGGACCGGAGUAAUGAUUAAGAGGGACAGUCGGGGGCAUUCGUAUUUCAUUGUCAGAGGUGAAAUUCUUGGAUUUAUGAAAGACGAACUACUGCGAAAGCAUUUGCCAAGGAUGUUUUCA